GGCUCGUUGGUCUAGGGGUAUGAUUCUCGCUUAGGGUCCGAGAGGUCACGAGUUUAAUUCCCGGACGAGCCC